UACGUAGGGGGCAAGCGUUGUCCGGAUUUACUGGGCGUAAAGCGCACGUAGGCGGAUCGAUCAGUCAGGGGUGAAAUCCCAGAGCUCAACUCUGGAACUGCCUUUGAUACUGAAGAUCUUGAGUUCGGGAGAGGUGAGUGGAACUGCGAGUGUAGAGGUGAAAUUCGUAGAUAUUCGCAAGAACACCAGUGGCGAAGGCGGCUCACUGGCCCGAUACUGACGCUGAGGCACGAAAGCGUGGGGAGCAAACAGG
rnacentral:rRNA from 1 species